AACAUCGCGCACCUGCGGGAACCUGCGGAAGGAUCAUUACCGAGUUUACAACUCCCAAACCCAUGUGAACAUACCUAUCGUUGCUUCGGCGGAUCGCCCCGGGCGCCUUGCGUGCCCCGGAUCCAGGCGGCCGCCGGGGGACCUUAACUCUUGUUUUUACUGAGAAUCUUCUGAGUCGUUUUUACAAAUAAAUAAAAACUUUCAGCAAUGGAUCU
rnacentral:misc_RNA from 1 species